rnacentral:rRNA from 1 species
UAGUCUAGAGUGAGGGAGAGGCAGAUGGAAUUGGUGGUGUAGGGGUAAAAUCCGUAGAUAUCACCAAGAAUACCCAUUGCGAAGGCGAUCUGCUGGAACUCAACUGACGCUAAGGCGCGAAAGCGUGGGGAGCAAACAGGAUUAGAUACCCUGGUAGUCCACGCCCUAAACGAUGUACACUAGUUGUUGGGGUGCUAGUCAUCUCAGUAAUGCAGCUAACGCAUUAAGUGUACCGCCUGGGGAGUACGGUCGCAAGAUUAAAACUCAAAGGAAUAGACGGGGACCCGCACAAGCGGUGGAGCAUGUGGUUUAAUUCGAAGAUACGCGAAGAACCUUACCUGGGCUUGAUAUCCUAAGAACCUUUUAGAGAUAAGAGGGUGCUAGCUUGCUAGAACUUAGAGACAGGUGCUGCACGGCUGUCGUCAGCUCGUGUCGUGAGAUGUUGGGUUAAGUCCCGCAACGAGCGCAACCCACGUAUUUAGUUGCUAACGGUUCGGCCGAGCACUCUAAAUAGACUGCCUUCGUAAGGAGGAGGAAGGUGUGGACGACGUCAAGUCAUCAUGGCCCUUAUGCCCAGGGCGACACACGUGCUACAAUGGCAUAUACAAUGAGACGCAAUACCGCGAGGUGGAGCAAAUCUAUAAAAUAUGUCCCAGUUCGGAUUGUUCUCUGCAACUCGAGAGCAUGAAGCCGGAAUCGCUAGUAAUCGUAGAUCAGCCAUGCUACGGUGAAUACGUUCCCGGGUCUUGUACUCACCGCCCGUCACACCAUGGGAGUUGAUUUCACUCGAAGCCGGAAUACUAAACAG